UACGUAGGUGGCAAGCGUUGUCCGGAUUUACUGGGCGUAAAGAGCGCGCAGGCGGUCGGAUAAGUCGAAUGUGAAAGCCCCCGGCUCAACUGGGGAGGGUCAUUCGAUACUGUUCGACUCGAAGGCAGGAGAGGGAAGUGGAAUUCCCGGUGUAGUGGUGAAAUGCGUAGAUAUCCGGAGGAACACCGAUGGCGAAGGCAGCUGCCUGGCCUGACACUGACGCUGAGGUGCGAAAGCGUGGGGAGCAAACGGG
rnacentral:rRNA from 1 species